CAAAGGCUUCCACUUUCCUGCGCUGCCAGGGAACAUAAGAAGCCGGAAGCCUUCGGGAGGCCAUCAACAACCUGUGCUUUGCUCACUCCCUAAUAUGUGAUCUAUUUGAUUGACAUCAGAGAGAUGGUUGAGUGACAUUCAGAUAUUGAUGACGUGGCUCACUGGGUAAACCAAAAAGAAACCAGUAUGGGUUAACUUUCGACUUCUUCGUCAUAUAAUCUCCAAAAACCUAUUCCGCGUAUUGGGAUUGUGAGGGAAACAAGUGCCGGUGGUCACUGUAGGGUUCAUGGGUGGUUUCUGCUUUUUAGAGUAAAUUAUGUUUCCUCAUUCAUUUUUAUUUUAUCUUGUAAGAAAUUUUCGAACUUUUCUUUUUUUAUAAAAUUAACGUCUUAACAGA